AGAGAAACUUUUCCGGCGAUUCCUUUCGCGGUCUUUCCACACUUCUCCCCGGAGCCUUCUUCAUCCCCAGGCAAGCCACAAUACCCACUUGCAUGAUAGUCAUGCAGUAGCCAUGGUUUUUAACUUGAAUAUUUAAUCAAUGUUUGCUCGUUUAAAAUAUGGUUACCGUUGUUCCGGUGAUGCUUAGAGUUUCAUGUUCACUCUCGUGCUAUGUUGUCUUGCACUUGGUUAUCAUGUAUUCCUGCUAGUAUUCCUUUCAUAUGCUUAUGCUUGCUAGUAGUACAUGUUGAUGUCGGUGAUGGUCUUCGGUGCAUGACUAUCAUCUGUUCCGAGUGCCGUCGUUAUGCAUGUUCCAUUGCAUCCCGUUGGUUAAAUGCCUGCAUGGUAGCAUUGUUGAUAUGUUGUUGCAUGAUAUUUAUUGUUGAUGCUAGUGGUCAUGCUAUGUUUCUGAGAAGUGUAUACUUGUGAUGUUCAUGCUAGUCAGUAUGCCAUGCUCAGUCAGAUAUAUGAUUUGUUGUUGUAUUGUUAAGAAGUAAUGAUGCCCAACCAUGCUUAUGUUGAUGUCAUACUCAUGUAUUGUAGUUCCAUCAUGUUAUUUUCAUACGACUCGGCUUAUUGCAUUCAAGUUUAAUCGACUUAAUUGAACUUGAACAACUGUUGGCUGAGUCAUGGUGCCACUAUAUCGGGCUGACAAGUGCAACCACAUUUGACUUUAUGGGGAGGCUGGUAGUCGUCCGUUGUCAUGCCUUUUGUCGGUGCCUCCAACGAGGUAAGGUUAUGGGCAUGUGUUACACUGGUUACACUGGCCGGUAAGCAGACAUAACCUUGUGAACUCGUUGUUGUUAUGGUACAGUGUCCCCGUUUGAGACUGUUUAUUUGCCACGACGGUGGUAGUUUUGCCUUUGGUAGGCUGGGCCACCCAGGACUAAGCCCAGUGGGGAGUUGGUCGGAGUGGCCAUAAGAGUGUCAUGGCAAUGGGUGAAUUCUGUCGGAAUGCCGUUGGUCCACCCGAAUGGGAGUGCGAGGCCAUGGAUUUCGUGGUGUGGGUAAAGUGCGCUACCUCUACAGAGUGUAUUAAAUUUAUCGAUAGCCGUGCCCGUGGAUAAGGGCCCAAUUUGUGUCCGUCACACUAUGGGUCAACAGUAAUAAUAAUAACUUGCUUAACAACAACCCUUGUUCGAUGAUGAGAAAGAGAUUGGUUGUGAUCAAGAGAGGAUCACGGAGGUAUCGUGGAUACCAGAGUUGGUUGAUCAUUAUGUGAUCGUGAGAUGAUCACCGUGAUAUCGAGGAUACCGAGUUGUUGGAUAUUCGUGAUGUGUGGGUAUCAUGGGUAAAGAUCAAGCUUCUUGUGGUCAUUUAAUGAUUACUAUGGCAUUGUUUAUACCAAACUUGAUUUGAUUCUGAGAUGAUCGUGUGAUGUCCGAGGCUGGUAAAUGAUGCAUAUGAUGGUUAUGAGAUAACCCGAGCAGAAUAAGUGGCGUAUAUAACGUCGUCAGGUUGCAUGAUAGUAUCAUCAUGUUCAUAUGUUCAUUCCAUGCUCAUAUUGUUCUAGCUGUAUCAUGUUCAUGUUGGUCAUGCCAUGUUAUUCUGAUGAUCUCAUGAUAAUCCCUGCUUAACCUGCAAUUGUCAUGCUGUUGUUUGUCUUGGAUGUUUCUGGUUAUUGUGAGCUUGCAAGUACAUUCAAUAUAUUGACCUGGUGUGUCAUGCCAGUUUGCAGGUCAUGCCGGAAUUGAUUGUUUGUUUGCCGUGGAUCCCUUGUUCGCGAGUUAGGAUAAGCGUUCCAGUCAGAGUCCCUGCGUAGUGGAGUUCGUUGUUCCGCUACUAGAAGUUAUUCUGCUGUUUCGAGUUGUUUUGCUGCUUGCAUAAAGUAACAGUGGCAAGCGUAGUGUCGUCGUGCCGAUGUAAUUUCUCGUUAUAUUAGAACCCCUUGUACCCAAUAUAGAUUGUAAUAAAGAGCUGAUUUGUUCUAUACUAAGUAGUGCCGUAUUUCAGAAGACUUCUUCUCUAUUUCUGGUCUGGAAUACGGAACGAUCCGGUUUCUCUUAGCCGGGGUUGUCACAUUUCUUGUAUUCACGCAUCUUCUGUACUCAGUUCAACACGACCAAGGGCAAGCAGCGCUUCACCACCAUCCGCACUCUAAGCCAUAGGCUGAGGAUGAAAUUAGAG
rnacentral:lncRNA from 1 species